GGAUACAAAGUAUUAUUAAAUGUAUAUUUUUAAUAAAGCCAAUAGUUAUUUUACUUAUAGGAGCUUUAAAAGAUACAAAAUGUAGAGUUCCAGUUUGCGCUUUGGCGAGACCCCUCUGCCAAGCGCAGCACCUGGAAUUACCAGUGUUCAGAGCAAGGCGGUGGAGAUUAGUGUGCACACCGUGACAGCUAACACAGACAAGAGCCACGCAGGGUUGGUGCAAAGCACGUGCCUGAAAAUGUCUAUAUACAAAACAGUUCUUUGUAAACAUGGUGAGGUGAAUGCUCAGAACCACGGCAAAAGAUCAUAAAUACAGGCAGCAAUGCAUCCCCACACAGCACAAAAGACAACACCUGAGGCCUGGGAAGAGCCUGACAACACAGUACUAAAAACUCAGGUGGCUGGGCUCAUAUCUGUAGAAAAACGAGAACAUAAAUGUGUUAUUACAAUCUUUGCUGGAAAAGCUUAUAUGGAGUUAGAAAGAAUAAACCAUUUAUUAGUAGUUAACAUAUAUUAAAAUGGUUUAAUGAUUUAAGAAAAUAUAAAAAAAAUAUUAAUACUGUCAAACUUUCAUACCAGAAAAUAUUAUGGAUUUUUCUCAGACUUUUUCAAAGAUGAAAUAUGAAAAAUUUAAAUAAGUUUUAUAUAAAGAACUUUCUGUAACCUCAAUUAAUAUACAGUGGGAUAUGUCUAUUCUAUAUAGAUAUAUUUAUUAUUAUUUCUCAAUUUAAGCACCAUUCAAUUCUUCUGGAUCCAUUCUGGCUGGAAAAUAUCCCUAAAUCCACAGGAUGUUAUCUAUUUAAUGGCACAUGUUAACUGAAAAUGAGGUGGUCAGUACUGGGGCAGAUAGGCUGGCCUGCGCUCACCCUUCCCAGGGAAGGCCUUGAAGCCCUUGGGUGCUGCCUUGUGUGCCUGCAGUCGUUGGUUGCGGCCCACACUGGGGACUGCAGCAUCUGCAUGGUGUCGUUCCACUGGCUGCCAGGGCUGGUGACUGCAUAGAGUGGUGCGCUGGGGCUGGGCAGCGUGCUGGGAAGCGGGGAAGGGUGCUGCCAGGGUGCUUUGGGUGGCCACGUUUUGGUUUUGUUAUCCUGAGAAACAAAAGAGAGAAUACCUGGUUCACAUCCUCCACCGUGGUGAGGAGAGGUGGUGAGGGCAGCGUGCUGGUGUCUUGCUCUCCACUGCUGUGUUUCCUGCAAGAACCAAGAGCUCAGGGC
rnacentral:lncRNA from 1 species